CGUCACAAAGUGGACCCCCUGGACAUCUCUACUGGAAACACAUUCCUGGACCUCAGUUAUGUCCCUCUAGGGAGUACAGACAUCCAGAAAGGGGUCUGAGUUUUAUAAGGAAGCUCAGCCUUGUCAUCUUAUGUCUCCUUUCUCAGUGUUCCUCAAACUUUCCUGCCCAUCGUUACUCUAAAAGUAGCUUUUAUGCUCGACUCUGAUAAAGAUAGUCCCUGUUGCCUAUGUCCACUCACUUGUAGAAGGCUUGGUUCUCGAUUCCACAUUUCCAGAGGUGCUUGCAGGCUUCUGGAGUUGGAGCAAAAUAUGUGAGAAUAAUUUUCUUUUCCUACAAAAAAAUCCCAUAUAGAAACAGCUGAGUGUGGAUGGAGAAGCAAAGGGUGAAAUGGCCAUAGGACACUGACCCCUGGACUGUCUGAGGGCUCCCCAGGACUGCAGGAAGAGAUUUCAGAUGGGGGAAGGAGCUGCCUGGCAGCUGGCUAAUUGGAAGAGAAGGCCUGCAGGACCCACUGGGGCAGAGCUCAAUUCAAUAAGUUCACACCUGGCAGGCCCAGUACAGUAAGCCUCAGCUUGUACAAACUGAAGCAAGACAGCCCUCACCAGAGAAAGUGUUAGUGUCAUUUGGGAUUUUUUUACUUCUUUUUAAAAGUUUAUUAUCUUCUUGGAAUUUUCAUAUAGAAGCAAAAGAAUCUUGCAUUGUCUGCAUUUCCUGGAGGUAUGGAACCUCUGGGUGUCACCAGCAUCCCGGAGGAAAGUCCUGGGCUCCAGGGCCUAGCCAUUUCUCCAUCCCUCACCUUCAGGUCUUGGCUUAUCAUUCAGAUGGCUUAGUUCUACCUGGAUACACCACUUUGGUUCAGUCCUGGCCAUCAGGAACCACUCAGUGCCCCAGCCCUCCCUGAAGAGAAAGAAGCCAGCACUCACCUCUUUCUGACUUACGUAUAAAUAGAAAGUCUUUCCUUCAAAUUUCAGCUUGGUCACCUCAUUCCUACAAGCACAAAGAAAGCACCUGUCACCUUGUUGUGGGCUGCUUGUUCACAGCUAAGUCUUGUAGAUGCACAGCCCACCCUGACUGGAAGGGGCUCCAGGCACAGACACAGUUUUAGCCAAAAUUAGAACUGAAACAAGACAGCAGCGCAGUGGCCUUAGAGAACAGUUGCUGAAACAGUUCAAUCCACAGUUUUCUGGUCAAUCACACUAUAAUAAUAGGGUGAUAGGAGGAAUUCGGGCUCAUCAACAGUGGCUGUAAGAGGGAAACCUUUGCAUGGGAAGUGAGUCUAGGUUGAGUGGUCCCGGGCCAUUUCAGGAUUUAGUUCAUAAUACAGGUGCAUUAUCUGGAUGGGACUGUCAAAUGUAAGGUGCCACAGGUAGCUGAUGAGGCCAAAGUUCAAGAUACAGCAAAUAAUGAAAAACAAUGCAACCAGGUUCUGAGGGAGUUGAGUCUUUCAGGUGACUGUGCCACUGGAUGGAAAAUGCAGUUUAAUGCAAACAAAUGUCAAACGAUCUCAGGGAGGGGGGCAGGGCAACAUACCAAAGAGAGAGAACAGAUUACAUGGAACAGUCAUGCAGCGUACUGACCAGGAAAGGGGCUUAGGGGUUUUUGUAGAAAAAUCCUUGAAGCCACCAGCCCAGUGAAUGGCUGCAGUAAAAGAGGCAAACAGGAUACUGGGGUACGUCACCCGCGGGACAGACACAAAUCAGAAGAAGUGACAUGGUUACUGUACAUGGCACAGCUUAGACCUCACCUUCACAUACUGCUCUCAGCCUUGGUUACAUUUACAAAAUGUAAAAAUGACCAGGGUCUUGGUGGAUGUCCCUGAGAGCCAGAGAACUAGGCCUCAGCAUCGGUCACUCCUCACUUCUCUUCCAUUUGCCUGACACAGCUGCCCUUUGGAUCCUGAAGGCCCUUCCAUCUCACUGGGGGGUGGAGUCCUUAUUUUGGUACCCAACUGGGACCCCCAAGGAGGUCAGACCAUGCCUAGUUGCCUCUACUUGGCUUUCUUCCUUUUUGCAGUCUCUAGGGAGAUUUUCUCAAUAUCUUAGGAAGUAGCAGAAAGGUAGUGAGAACCAUGUACCUAAUUUACUACUGGCCAAAAUUUAGGGGACAGAGGAAGGUCACUUGCUUCCUAGAAAUCAUGGCUGGGUCAGGAUGAGAGCUCACAAUUUGUGACCAUCAGUUCUGAGCUAAUACAAGCACAUGGUAUUCCUUGUUUGAAUCCCUCCCAUUCAGUCUCUCUCAUACACAUUCAGAAUACAAUAAAUAUUAGUUAAUUAAUAUGUAAACAAAUACACUGAUCAUCUAGGCUUCAACAAGCAAGAUAGGAAAGUAAGGAGCAUUCUGUUGAAAGUGAGGUUAGGUCUACAUCUGUUAUUUUAAAAUUGAGACACAGUGAAAAGGAGACUUCCUGAAGAAGUGGGAUGUGAGAGAAGACACAGAAUGAAAAGUGUUGGGGAGAAUCAGGUGAGCAUGAGGGCUUCUGGAUGGGGAAGGAUACUUUGGACUGUAGGGCCCUGUAACAGGUGUGUCCUAAUUGUUUCUAGCUACACAUGCCCUCUACCAGGAACCUCAUGAGACAGCUACCCUGAUCAGGGUGUGGGCCAGGAUCUGGGCCCUCUAAGCGCUAUCAGACAACCCGGCUAUAUCCAGGAAGCAAGUGCUCCUCACUGGGAGAGCAGUGGCCUGACCCUACUCAUUGCUUUUUUCUGAAAAGUAUUUUCUUAGAAAGGAGACCCCAAACCCUCACCAUUGUCACCCAAAGAGCACAGUGAGUGGGCCAACUUCAGAAGGCCUAGCAACGAGCUAUUUUGGGGUAUGCCCUGGUUACUCAGUGCAGCAACCUGCCUUGUGAAGUGGCUGUUUUCCUGGGGGUUGGGUCCUGACUGGUCGUGUCUGGGGGGCACUUCCAUUAGCACUCUGAUGAUCAUAUUGACAGACUGCACAAGAGCAGUAGGGUUGGAAAGGUGGUGUCUGUCCACAAGCUCAGUGGGGGAGCUGAAGAGGACACAAGAAGAGAGAUGCCCUGCAGCACCCCCAACAGAAAGCUCGCCAGGAAACCGCUUUGUCCUCAGAUUCCCCAUCAGCUCUUCUGGAGAAGGCAAAGGAACCAAGACAGGAGGAGCAAGCUUCCCCAGCUGAGCUCUGCUGGGCAAGAACAACGAACCCGAAAGGAGUAAAGGCCAGAAAUGCAGCGUUUCCUGACACAUCCUGCAACACAGAAGGACCUCUCAUCAGGGUGAUGCAGGCAUAGAGGUGAAAGGGGUCUUUCGUGAUCCCGACACUUGGCUGCAAGCACCGUGUCCUUCAACCCAGGGGCAACAGCAAAAAGCUGUUUAAAAAUAACCUGAAUGGAGAUACUGUGAAGCCACGGGGCUGAUUUUCCUCCUGCCUGUCAUCAGUGCUUAGUGGUGCUUAUUAAUACCUGAGUGCCAGCACUGCACAAAGGCAUGGUCCCUGGCGGGGGCACCAGUGCUAACCCAGCAGGUUGGCCUCUGUGGGGGAGAAUGCCUGGCCGACAUGGGUGAGAGAGGGCAGCCUGCCUCAGAUGGAGGGUGGGCACCGGGAGGCCUUCUGCUCAUGGUGCAGGCAGGACCCAAGGAAGUCCAGAAACUGCAGGUUCAGAAAGUGACUUGAGGGUGGAAACCUUACCUUACUAGUACUCACAGAACAGGCCUGCAGGAAAGGUUUAUCAGAUGAAUGUGUAAGACAAUGAGGUGGGCCAGGGGGAAGUACAAACGUGAACAAAAACAAGAGGGGAAGGCACAGGUGCAGCGAAGGUGGGGAAGGCAUCUUACAGUGUUGUGAGAGAGAGGAAAGGCCUAGAAAGAAUAGGUGGAAGGAUGGAAAGGAAGGAUCAGGUCAGCAGAGGAUUGUGGGUGGCUAGAAAUAAUGGGUAAAGAGUAGGGAAGGGAAGCAGUGGGCUGGCCAGGGAAGGGCCUCCCUCUGCUUCUUGCACCCCUGACCCCUGUGGGCAAGAGCAGGGCAGAAGAGCGCCUGCCGCAUGACCAUAGUCAUGGGCCCUGUGUCAGACCACUCAAGCCCAGGUUCUGGCUCUGCCACUCACUGCCUGUGUGACCUCAGCUAGGUCCCAUCUCUCUGUGUUUUAGACUCCUUGUUGCAAAAUUAGGGUUGAUAAUAUUAUCUAUCUCUUAAGUUGCGCCUGGUAGACAUCGAAGGACAUGUUAGUGGUUGUGUUGUUGUUAAUAUGAGUUUGUUGAGCUUCAUACAAAAUCUUCGUAAAAAAUGCAGUAUUUUACUAUUUUUCCUGAUGUUGACGGAUUUAAAUUUUGCUAGUUAGGAAAUGAGGGUGUGGGAAGUUGGGGUAGAAAGGGGGAGUCAGUCAUUCAUUGUUAGGGGCCUGUGGAGAGGGGG